GCUCCCGCCAGGAGGCCCGUGGCCGCCGGGGACCAGGCUGGCGCGAGGGUCACCGGAGAGCGGUGACCGCCUGCUGGGACGGGUUCUCCCCGGGAUCGCAGCGGUGCUUGCCUCCCCAGCGUCCCCCCCUUCCGCGUCCCCACCGCCCGGCCGCCCGGGCCUCUGUCCCCGCCCCGCUCCUGCCCCUGGCCGCUCUGGCCGGAUCACACGUGCGCUCGGUGCCCCCCGCACCCCGGCCCCAGGCGGCGGGGGGUCGCUCUGCCUCCUGCAGGGACUCCCACCUGCCUCCCGUGUCGCGGGCCUGCCAUUCCCAGAGGGAUCCCAGCCCCUCCCCCCGGCCCGGGAGCCCCUCCCCUUUCUGUGAAGGGUGAACUCUUCCUCAAGGAGAAACCUUUUUCUGUAGUUUUACCUCUUCCAGAAGUUGCGGGUGAACACGAAACCAUCAUCACGCCGAAGAUUAUAGUGGCUCCCGACCGACGCCAUUUAGCGGCCGCGUCUCCCGGGUGGCAUCGGACGGUUCCCGGGUUGGUGGCUGGGAGUCGGCGACUCCAGGAGGCGCGGCCCUUUCCCCGUGAGGGCUCCGUCGCCCCGGCCGCGGUUCCCCGCGGUUCUGUGCUGUCCCGUGGCCCUCCCCCGUCUGGGGGUGUCCCGCGGGGGCCCUUCACGGGGGGCGGGAUGUGGGCACUGAGGUCCGCUGGGGCCCGGGGCUGGUGCUCGGCCCCGCGGCCCCUUCUCACAGGGAGGAGCAGCUCCCCCAGACGUGUGCUGCCCCGUGGCCGUGGCCGGGGCACGUGGGAACCGCAGGCGACUGCCGGGUCUCUAUCCGUUUUCACAAGAGGAUGUUGCUUCCUCGGAAAAUGACCAGGAAUUUUUUUUUUUUAAGAUUUUACGUAUUUAUUCAUGAGAGACACAGAGAGCUUGCCCUCGAGGCCCGACCCCCGUGCCCCGAAACCCCCGCCUGGUGACCCUGUGCCCCCCCGCCCCCCGCCCGGCACCCGGCGAGCCCGCGGUGCUCUCGUGUGCUCCCCGCCUCGUGCCAGUCGCACAGACGCCCGUGUCCUCGUCCCAGGGGCCCGGGAGCGGGGGAGAGGGACGAGCCGCGGGAGGCGGGAAGGAAGGCAGGCGCCCCUGGGGGCCGGAGAGGCGGGGGCGGACCCCUGGAGCUCCCCGGGGCCCCCGGAGGAGCCGUCCUGCCCACACCGUGGCGGUAGCCCCGCGGGACCUCCAGAAUCCAGGCGAUCAGCUUGCGCUGUUGAGGCUGCGAGAGCCGCUUGCUGGACUCGCUGGAGUGAGGGCUCAGAUUGGACGCCAGACCUCCUGUCCUUGCCCUGAGCUGAGAAUCAGAGCCUGUCAGUCGGAUGUCACAAUAAUUAGGACACCGAGCCUGAGGUCUUCCAAGCCAGUAACUUGCAUCGCCAACGGACAGGAAGCACUCGCUCAGUUUUUAACUGUGUAGCAGCCCCGCGGGACCGACUGGGCAAGUCCUGUCAUCACGACAGGCCCAGGAGCACCUGCCGCUGUGACAUCCAUGAUGACUUGGGGAUGUAACGCGUCAGGAUUUUUUUAAAAGGACAACAUUUAAAAAUGCUUCAGAGUCACAGAGCCACCGCCUUGCCGAGAUGCUCCUUCUCUACUCCAAGCUCGUUUGCGUGCUCCUGGCAGGACAGAUCACUGCAAGGGCUCUCCCAAUAAGAAACUGUCCUUCCAGGAGUGAAGAACCCCCCCUUGGGCGUUCUGUGAUUUGCUCAGAUGUGGUUCGAAUCAAUGAUUCUAUGUUCAGACAUAGGAGAGCCUUUUCCUUUCUAAUGUGACCUGAAGUACU
rnacentral:lncRNA from 1 species